rnacentral:rRNA from 1 species
CCUACGGGAGGCAGCAGUAGGGAAUAUUGCUCAAUGGGGGAAACCCUGAAGCAGCAACGCCGCGUGGAGGAUGAAGGUUUUCGGAUUGUAAACUUCUUUUGUUAGAGAAGAUAAUGACGGUAUCUAACGAAUAAGCACCGGCUAACUCCGUGCCAGCAGCCGCGGUAAUACGGAGGGUGCAAGCGUUACUCGGAAUCACUGGGCGUAAAGAGCGCGUAGGCGGGUUAGCAAGACAGAUGUGAAAUCCUAUGGCUUAACCAUAGAACUGCAUUUGUAACUGUUAAUCUAGAGUAUGGGAGAGGUUAGUGGAAUACUUGGUGUAGAGGUAAAAUCCGUAGAGAUCGAGUAGAAUACUCAUGGCGAAGGCGACCAGCUAGAACAUAACUGACGCUGAUGCGCGAAAGCAUGGGGAGCAAACAGGAUUAGAUACCCGGGUAGUC